AAACCCUAGCCUCAUUGUCCGCUUCCCUCGCAGCCUCGCAGGUGCGCCGCCUCGCCUGCUCCUCCCUCACGCGCGCCGGCCCGCAGCCCGCUCCCUCGCCCUUCUCCUCCCCUCGCAUACGCCGUCAUCGCCGUCGUCGCCGCCGCCGCCGUCGCUCGGUGCCCUCUCCUUCAUGCUCUCCAUCCUCGGCUACUCCUCCCCUCGCUUUGCGCCAUUGCCGCCUCACCCUCCUCCUCUUAUCAUCGCAGUGCCGACGCCGUCCUCCUUGCCGGUGGAUCAGCGAGGAGCCCGGGGCUGCCAGAUCCGAAGACCCCGACCUCGCUGGUGGAUCUAGCAGCCUGGAGGAAAGGGACGCAAGCCAUAGCGACCCUCUUCCCCUCUUUCAUCUCUGCUCCGCCAUCACAUCUCUCUCGAUCGACCUAUCCGCGCCGCUUGGUUGUUGCAGGUUUGUCUCGAUGGCCGUCGGAAUUGAUGAUCUCGACCAGAAGUGAAGGCUGCCACCCCUGCUCUCUUCUCCUCUUCCUCUCCGGUCCUCCACUGCUCCUCUCGACCCUCUUCCUCCCGCUCUCCGCGCCGCUCGGUGGCAGAUCCAAGGGGCUAUUUGGUCUCCUAUGAGGAGGACACAUGAACGCUAGGGUGUGGGGGCUGACCGAUGGCUAGGAGGCUGGGAAGGAGAAGCUAGAGCCAGAGUGGCGCGGCUCAGACCCCAAAGCCACGACGACGGCAGGGCAGCGUCGACUAUGGCUAGGUACAGUGACGACGACUGCAACAGCUUGGUUGGUCCUGCUCUUUUUUUCUUCUUCACUUCUUUUUUUGGUUCACUGGGAGAGGCAACCCACUACUGAUGGGCAUUUGAACUAACAUGGCAUCUCUCCUGGAGCAACUGUCAGUACUUGCAUUGCAGUCAAAUUGGCGAAUCCAGAGAAGUAUACCCUGUGCGACAUUCUAAUUAUGGGUCUCCUAAUUUUCAUAUCCAAAAAUAGAAGUAUGAAGCUGUGCUAGGUCUGCUCACAAAUGGUUCUUUGUGGAGCAUAUCAGUAUAUAGGUAAAUUGUGCUUUAGAUUUUCUCCUUAAAUCAUAUGAAAAGUCUAUAUAUGCUUCUUCAUUGCGCAUGACUGUUGCAGUACUGAUAUGACCCUUUGCCAUGGACUCUCUGCGAUCUUCCCAUUGUAUGGAGCACAAGAAUAACAUAUACGCCAGAUAUUUAAUCUAUAGAAACUUCAAUGUUGCACUUUGUCUUCAGAAUUACCUAUUGUCUAAAUAUACCAUGUAUCCAGCUGUAAUACCAAUUAUUUACUUACAUUUUAUAGAGGAGUUUAUCAAAAUUGUUCUAAGAUAAUAUAAUAUGGCAGGAUAUUUUUAUAGUUUCAUGGAGGUUUACACAUUUAGUACCAUAGCUUUCGUUUUACUAGGCUUUCUCAAUGUUUCCUUAAAGGCAUGAGAUCAUUUUUUUUAAACAUGCUGCUGAUGGCAAGUUAGUUUUUCUAUGUAACUGCGGUGAACUGAUACCAGUAAUGUGCUCAUCCAAUCGUUAAAGAAAACUUGCGCUGAGUUAGUGAUCUUAAGAUAGUAACUGUCAUACAAAUGACCUUUUGUUAGGUGCAGCAUUGUUUAGACUUUGGAGGAUUCAACUCUUUUGAACUUAUGUGAAUGGAAGUAUCUAAUACUACCUGAGUACCUGUUCAGUCAAGAAAAUCACAUGCAAGGUAUUUUGGAUCUUGAUAGGUUCUACACAAACUAAUAUCUAGCUUUUGGUUGAUGAGAAUUUCUGCUCCAUACUGAAGGAGUUUGUUGUUGUAGUUGUACAUAUCCUGGUGGAUGGGCUCACGUAAUUUUCUGGAGCCUCAAAUCCGCAAUUACAUUGUCAAAUUUUGACUGACUGCCAUGCUUGACUGAUUCUUUACCUCAUGCACGUGCUCUAUGGACGCUGUAACCUUUUGGUUUAAGUGCAUUGCUCAGGUGCUCCUGACGACAGGACUUCGUUGUACACAAUUGUGCAAAUUUGAGUGGAUGAGCUUGUACUUGCAGGACCAUUUUCUAUUUUCUUAUAAGCAAAAAGUGAAAGAACAAGAGUGACCCACAAAGCAUGGCUUUCAUUAUUGAAUCAGAAAGUGCAAAACUUAAUAUUCACAUUGUAGAGAGCAUAUUUGAGGUUGAAAGAUUGUACAGCUGCAUUCGUGUAGAAUCGAUUUGCUAUAGAAAGAAAUGGUUUGUGGGUCACAGUUUAGUUGGACCAACCUUUUUCUCAUUAGUCACCUUACAACUCACAAGGAGCAACACGUAGCAGUAUAGCACUUUUUUAGAGGAACCAUUUCUUCUGUUUGAUGCGUGCACACUGUACGGCUAUGAUAAAUCUUAAACGGGUGACAGGUAAUUGGAUGCACACUGUACUCUUGAUUUGUGCAGCUAUCCUUUCUUUCCAACGAGUGUGAAUCAAUCCCUUCAAAAUUUCUUCUACCUAUGUACGUAUUGAUGUAGUUGCGAUCCAAUUUGUACUUUUUUAAUUGUUGCAUGCUCUAUGUAUGUACAUGCUUUUUAUUUCAUUCAAUUUGGUAUAUACUAUGUGAGCACAAAAUGCAUUCAAGUAAUAUUUAGUCAGUAGGUCUCAACUCUUCUCUAAAGGACGUAAUGAAUUGGAUUUGUAUACUUGCUCUGUUUUCAUCUGACUAACUCUGGAUUUGUAUACUUUGCUCUGUUUUCAUUAACUCUGAAACAUCCUUACAAUGCAGGUGCCAUAUAGUGUCGAUAAUUCAGGAAGGGAAAGCUAUGUGGACAAAAAAUGAUGUCCUUUUUAGUGUUCCAUGGUAGUUUAUUUAUUUUUACUUUUUCAAUGAUCGUUGUGACAAACAUGUAAAGUUAUCUAAUAUACUCCAUAGUGUGUAGGGCUAUGUCUCUUGGUAUGAGAGCUGCUUUUGCUUAGCACACGAUUUUACACAUAGUCAUCCGAUCAAACGAAUCAAAAUAUAUUUGGAUCUUACCUAUAUAUACAUGUAUAUCAUUUUCCACUUAAUGCUGAGAAUUGUAGCUAUUUCGUAGAAA